rnacentral:rRNA from 1 species
UACAGAGGGGGCAAGCGUUGUUCGGGAAUUACUGGGCGUAAAGGGCGCGUAGGCGGCCUUCUAAGUCGAACGUGAAAUCCCCGGGCUCAACCCGGGAACUGCGUCCGAGACUGAAAGGCUUGAAUCCGGGAGAGGGAUGUGGAAUUCCAGGUGUAGCGGUGAAAUGCGUAGAUAUCUGGAGGAACAUCGGUGGCGAAGGCGGCAUCCUGGACCGGUAUUGACGCUGAGGCGCGAAAGCCAGGGGAGCAAAGCGGG